CCCUUGAUCACGGGUGACACUUUUGUUCUUGUCGUCGUCGUUUUGCGAGAUGACGACAAGAACAAAAACAGCCACCCGUGAUCAAGGG
rnacentral:pre_miRNA from 1 species